UACGGAGGGUGCAAACGUUGCUCGGAAUCAUUGGGCGUAAAGCGCACGUAGGCUGCAAAGAAAGUUGGGUGUGAAAGCCCCUGGGCUCAACCCAGGAAGUGCAUUCAAAACUACUUUGCUUGAAUCUCGGAGGGGGUCAGAGAAUUCCCGGUGUAGAGGUGAAAUUCGUAGAUAUCGGGAGGAAUACCAGUGGCGAAGGCGCUGACCUGGACGAAGAUUGACGCUGAGGUGCGAAAGCGUGGGGAGCAAACAGG
rnacentral:rRNA from 1 species